GAACUGCGAUAAGUAAUGUGAAUUGCAGAAUUCAGUGAAUCAUCGAGUCUUUGAACGCACAUUGCGCCCCCUGGCAUUCCGGGGGGCAUGCCUGUCCGAGCGUCAUUGCUGCCCUUCAAGCCCGGCUUGUGUGUUGGGUCGUAGUCCCCUCCGGGGGACGGGCCCGAAAGGCAGCGGCGGCACCGCGUCCGGUCCUCGAGCGUAUGGGGCUUUGUCACCCGCUCGAUAAGGACCGGCCGGGCGCCAGCCGGCGUCUCCAACCUUUUUUUCUCAGGUUGACCUCGGAUCAGGUAGGGAUACCCGCUGAACUUAAGC
rnacentral:misc_RNA from 1 species